AUCCAGAUGAUGAGUCCCAAAUAGGGCGAAACUCGAUUCCUGGAU
rnacentral:hammerhead_ribozyme from 1 species